rnacentral:rRNA from 1 species
GAUGAACGCUGGCGGCGUGCCUAAUACAUGCAAGUCGAGCGAACGGACGAGAAGCUUGCUUCUCUGAUGUUAGCGGCGGACGGGUGAGUAACACGUGGAUAACCUACCUAUAAGACUGGGAUAACUUCGGGAAACCGGAGCUAAUACCGGAUAAUAUUUUGAACCGCAUGGUUCAAAAGUGAAAGACGGUCUUGCUGUCACUUAUAGAUGGAUCCGCGCUGCAUUAGCUAGUUGGUAAGGUAACGGCUUACCAAGGCAACGAUGCAUAGCCGACCUGAGAGGGUGAUCGGCCACACUGGAACUGAGACACGGUCCAUACGCCUACGGGAGGCAGCAGUAGGGAAUCUUCCGCAAUGGGCGAAAGCCUGACGGAGCAACGCCGCGUGAGUGAUGAAGGUCUUCGGAUCGUAAAACUCUGUUAUUAGGGAAGAACAUAUGUGUAAGUAACUGUGCACAUCUUGACGGUACCUAAUCAGAAAGCCACGGCUAACUACGUG